rnacentral:rRNA from 1 species
AUUGAACGCUGGCGGCAGGCCUAACACAUGCAAGUCGAGCGGAUGAAGGGAGCUUGCUCCUGGAUUCAGCGGCGGACGGGUGAGUAAUGCCUAGGAAUCUGCCUGGUAGUGGGGGAUAACGUCCGGAAACGGGCGCUAAUACCGCAUACGUCCUGAGGGAGAAAGUGGGGGAUCUUCGGACCUCACGCUAUCAGAUGAGCCUAGGUCGGAUUAGCUAGUUGGUGGGGUAAAGGCCUACCAAGGCGACGAUCCGUAACUGGUCUGAGAGGAUGAUCAGUCACACUGGAACUGAGACACGGUCCAGACUCCUACGGGAGGCAGCAGUGGGGAAUAUUCGACCAUGGGCGAAAGCCUGCUCCAGCCAUGCCGCGUGUGUGAAGAAGGUCUUCGGAUUGUAAAGCACUUUAAGUUGGGAGGAAGGGCAGUAAGUUAAUACCUUGCUGUUUUGACGUUACCAACAGAAUAAGCACCGGCUAACUUCGUG